CCGAGGACUCGACAGUCAUCCGCUUGCAAAUAUAUGUUCGCCUUUAACCGGGCGGCUAUAUGAGCAAGCAUUUUACCUUGAGAAAAACAGAGUGUUCCAGGCAGGUUUGUCCGGAAUGCGUUAGCAUGGAAUAAUAGAAUAUGACUGAAGUCGAUUUAUUGGUUUGAGGCUUUAGUAAUGAUUAAUAGGAGCAGUCGGGGGCAUUGGUACUUGACAGUCAGAGGUGAAAUUCUAGGAUUUGUCAAAGACUAACAAAUGCGAAAGCAUUUGCCAAGGAUGUUUUCAUUAAUCAAGAACGAAAGUUAGGGGAUCAAAGACGAUCAGAUACCGUCCUAGUCUUAACUAUAAACUAUACCGACUCGGAUUCGGAUGAAUCAAAAAGUUCAUUCGGGACCGUAGGAGAAAUCAAAGUUUUUGGGUUCUGGGGGAAGUAUGGUCGCAAGGCUGAAACUUAAAGGAAUUGACGGUUUUGCACCACCAUGGAGUGGAGUCUGCGGCUUAAUUUGACUCAACACUGGGAAACUCAUCAGGGCAAGAAGAUUUUAGGAUUGACAGAUUGAGAGUUCUUUCUUGAUUGGUCUAGUGGUGGUGCAUGGCCGUUCUUAGUUGGUGGAGUGAUUUGUCUGGUUAAUUCCGUUAACGAACGAGACCUUAACCUGCUAACUAGUACUUUGAUGAAAAAUCAUUGUUACUUCUUAGAGGGACUAUGUG
rnacentral:rRNA from 1 species